rnacentral:lncRNA from 13 species
AUCUCCUCAGGCCCCCUUGGGUCGCCAGGGCCAAGGUCGGCUGCAGACUGCCUGGUUGUAUGCGGGGUUCCGGGAACCCGGAUCUUCCAGCCUCUUGUCUUAACGGGAACGUUCCAUCCGUGGUUUUGUCCGAGUGUCCGGCGCGUGGGUUGCAGCCACUGUCCUGAAGCUCUAGGCGGUGAUGAGCUCUCUGACCCAAGGCAAAGCCACCCGUGUUCCGCUCGUUCCGCGUCGCUGGACCUGCACUGCGGGUGUUUAAUCGCACCGGGAGGUUUUCUGACGGAGGCAGUUGUAUUCCCCCGAGAUUAUCGCAACACUUCUGCUCCAACGGGAACGUCCUCCUGCAAAGCCACAGUGCCGGAAGUUCACAGCAGUGUUUCAUCGGUGUCCGAUAUCCAGUCCACACUCGGGCUCCCAGCUGCGCCAGUGUGUCACACGUGGUGCUUUUCCAAACCAGCGCCAAGACUCAGGCUCUCCUCAGCUGCUGGUUUCUUGUCCCUGCUGUGGCAGAAGCCGCCGGCCCUCCCUAUUCUUCCUUUCCAUGGCAGUUUCAGGACAGCGACUCAGAAGACAAGGUGCAUCCCGGGGCCAUCACGGAACCCCCCUCCCCAGUGCUCCUGAAACAGGCAGUGCUGUUUACAGCAGGCGUCUCGGCAGCAUGGAGGGGAGAAGCCACCUGGCUGCCGCUUCCACCUCGGAUUUGGCGCUGCUCUGGGUGAUGCACGUGGACAGG